AAAAUUGUCUCGUGAAUUAGCUUUCAUUUAUGUAAUUAAUUUUAUAAGUAGUCUAUAUUUAAUACUAUAAAUUAGUGUCUAAAUAUAGGGACUAAAGUUAAGUUCCUGGAUCCAAACACCACCUAAAAGCUCUAUCUUUAGUGGCAGGUGAUACUAAAAUUUCACCUUAUUACUCAGUGGUAGUACAACUGAACCAAAAAAAAAAUCAAUAAUUCUGUGCUUAAUCAGGGGACAGGCAGAGAAGGAUUUCAGGGUGGAGGCCGUGACGAUCGGCUGUGUUCAGCACAAGAAUCUGGUCAGCCUACUGGGUAUUGCAGCGAGGGAGCUUUGUAGGAAGCUGGUGAAAUUGAGUUGACCAAUUUGGACUGAAGAAGUGAUCUCAGAUAGGGGGGUUGCUGCCUGGAAGAGUAGGAAAACAAUGCAGAGAGAGAUGGUUCAACCCUUUGAGGCCAAACAUCAAGGGAACGACUCCUUGCAGCCUCUGUGCUGCAUCGGCCACCAUCACCGGCGAGCCUGUGGCCCUUCUCUUUGUGCCAUCGGUGCCACGAGAACAUGAAGAGGCCAUUCGCAGUCACCGCAAGAAGAAUUAGUGUCACAACAACAAGAAGCAUGAGCGCCUUCAUCAAUGGGGGACAGUGAGAUCCAUUGCAAUGGCCAUGGCCAUGAGAGGAUCCUGAUGUCAUCUGCCACGAUAUGUCAGCACUGAAUGGCUGGGGGCCUGUCGGGGUUGAUGAGGUCGGCCGGACUGCACAGCCUGAGAGCAGGCAGAACAUAUUCAGAUGAGUGUUGUUUGCACCUUGCAAUCCACCCUGCAGUUUCGCUAAUUCUUGGGGAAAAUGAUGUUUUGAUUUCUGUAGCAACAGCUUUAAUUUGUUGAACGAAUGGAUCCCAUGUAUUUUUUUUCUGGGCUUUGAACAACAAAAGCACAAAAAGGGACAGAAGCCCAUGUUCGACCCAACAAACCUUUUGGCAGGGGUGCUUGAUGCACGCACAGCACGCGGGGAGGAGGUGGGAGAUGAUGACACGUGUCAUAUCCUAUGGUCAAAAGUCCAGCUGAUAUCUCAAAAAAUUUCAGCAGGAUGGUACUAGACAGUCCCUAAGUGGUACUUAAUUCGUUUCACUUCAGUAAAGCCGCGUAUAAUAUGCAGAGUCCAGAGUAUAAUCUGCAUCAGUAGACCUACUGAUAUAUGAUGGCUCAGUAGCAUCCUGUAGAGUUUAUAAUGUGGCAAAUGUCUGACGACAUAAUAUAACUCCUCAAAAUAACGUUAAAUUAAUUUGGGACCUGCUUUUGCAUUUGCUUCCUCAAAUCAAAUUGUUUCCUCGAGUUCAACAUAGAGAUUCUGCAGAACAGUUAUUACAGUCCAAUGCAUUUUUUUUCCAGGUGGUUUCCAAGACAAAUUGGUGUUCCAUCGGACGAGUAAUGCAGCCACCAUCUGUCGUUAUAUCUUGACAGAGCCGAGAAGGAAAAUCCUCCAGAGAUUGGCCACCAUUUGCAUGCAACCGGAUGGCGAGCAAGGCGACAGAGAUGGGAAUUUUUUUCGUUUUUAGAUUUUUUUUAAUAUUUACAGAAAUAAUCUAUCGGCGAGAAAAAUUGCAAAAAUAGACCCUGCCGCCCCAAUGGUGGGCGGCAAGCUGACGUGGCAAACGGGGGAGGAACGGACGGUGACGGAGGGUGGUUUUUUUUGCAUGAAAACCCUUGCCGCCCUUUGGUGGGGCGGCAAGGGGUCCGAAUGCAAAAGAGCCGCAGGGGCCGGCCAUUUUGCAGGCGGCCCCUUGCCGCCCUCUGGCCGGGCGGCAGGCCUUGCUGCCUAUAAAAGGUCUGCCGCCCAGCCCCCAGCCCUCAUUCCUCACCCCUCUCAA